UACAGAGGGUGCAAGCGUUGUUCGGAAUUAUUGGGCGUAAAGAGCGUGUAGGCGGCUAGAUAGGUCCGUUGUGAAAACUCGAGGCUCAACCUCGAGACGUCGAUGGAAACCAUCUGGCUAGAGUUCGGUAGGGGGAGACUGGAAUUCCUGGUGUAGCGGUGAAAUGCGCAGAUAUCAGGAGGAACACCGGUGGCGAAGGCGGGUCUCUGGGCCGAUACUGACGCUGAGGAGCGAAAGCGUGGGGAGCGAACAGG
rnacentral:rRNA from 1 species